CCGCCGGUCGGGAGAGGGGGUGGGGAGGCGGCGAGGAAAAGUAAAGUGACAGCUGGGUCCCGCGCGCAGACUGGGCUCUGACGGGUCGCAGACGCGUGGGGCUCGCAUGUACCCAAGACAGGAAAACUUCACGUUGGCCUGGAAACUUCUUCCAGGCUAAGCCUGAGUCUUCACCAGACACUGCAGCACGAAGGCCCUUCUGCCUUUUGGCUCGCCCUGGCCCAGAAUGCGCACCAGCCGGUAGAGAGGAGCUUCGGGCCGUUUAGCCCUGGGGCAAGAGAAAGAGGCCCACUGCAAUAUGCUGUGAAGAAUACAUAAGAAGUCAAACUGUUGACCUCUUUUCCCCAGCCCGUUCCAAAACUACAUCCCUGAGGAGUUGUGCACCUCUACGGAAAGUUCAGAUGAAAGAGCUAAUUCCCCUUGAUCUCUCUUCUUGUUCAGAGUGGAGGAAAAACAUAUACCAUCCCUUCCAUCAAUCCUCAGCAUAACUUUGCCAGGGACACUGGUAACAAGCUACUUUUACCUCAGAAGUUGGAGAGUAUCACUUGACCCACAUUGUGUAUGUGUAAAUAUCUUUAUUCAGUGUAUAUACAAUAUAUUCUUAAUUUGACUCUCAA
rnacentral:lncRNA from 10 species